rnacentral:rRNA from 1 species
AAAACGACUCUCGGCAACGGAUAUCUCGGCUCUCGCAUCGAUGAAGAACGUAGCGAAAUGCGAUACUUGGUGUGAAUUGCAGAAUCCCGUGAACCAUCGAGUCUUUGAACGCAAGUUGCGCCCAAAUCCUUCGGGUCGAGGGCACGUCUGCCUGGGUGUCACGC